rnacentral:rRNA from 1 species
GUUGAACGCUGGCGGCACGCUUAACACAUGCAAGUCGAACGGUAACAUUACUAGCUUGCUAGUAGAUGACGAGUGGCGGACGGGUGAGUAAAACGUAGGAAUUUGCCAUAGAGAGGGGGAUAACCACAGGAAACUGUGGCUAAUACCGCAUAAAACUUCAAGAAGGAAAGGCUGGGGAUCUAGGAAACUGGACCUGGCGCUCAAUGAGAAGCCUACGAUGGAUUAGCUAGUUGGUAAGGUAAAGGCUUACCAAGGCGACGAUCCAUAGCUGUUCUGAGAGGAAGAUCAGCCACACUGGGACUGAGAUACGGCCCAGACUCCUACGGGAGGCAGCAGUGGGGAAUAUUGGACAAUGGGGGGAACCCUGAUCCAGCGAUGCCGCGUGUGUGAAGAAGGCCUACGGGUUGUAAAGCACUUUCGUUGGGGAGGAAGAGAUAUUUGUAAAUAGCAGAUAUAAGAGACGUAACCCAAAUAAGAAGCACCGGCAAACUCUGUG